UAAAGUUCGCCGAAUUUGCUAUUAGCAGUUCCUGUUUUCUUGUUACCACUGGAUGUACCGACAACUGUCAAUGAAUCGCUUCGAUACGAUGGAAAACCUAAAAAUGUGAAGAUUCUCAGGCAAGUUCCGAAGGGGUCCAAUUCCUGCACCCAGUAGUCUGCUGUACAUUAUACCUCAUGUUUCUGAGAUAGGGCCCGGCUAUUUCUUGGAUAGGACUCGUAAAAUUCCUGGAGUCUCCACUGGCUGUCUGGCGACCUCACGACGUCUCGCCUUCUCCAGCUCCUCAGCCGAAGCGAACACAUUCACGCUCCUCAGAGUGCCGUUGGACUGGCUGCUGCGAUCACUCAAGGCCCCUUCUGUCAC